rnacentral:rRNA from 1 species
UACGAAGGGGGCUAGCGUUGCUCGGAAUCACUGGGCGUAAAGCGCACGUAGGCGGACUCUUAAGUCAGGGGUGAACUCCUGGAGCUCAACUCCAGAACUGCCUUUGAUACUGGGAGUCUCGAGUUCGGGAGAGGUGAGUGGAACUGCGAGUGUAGAGGUGAAAUUCGUAGAUAUUCGCAAGAACACCAGUGGCGAAGGCGGCUCACUGGCCCGAUACUGACGCUGAGGUGCGAAAGCGUGGGGAGCAACAGG